GCAAUGAAAAUAAUAAUAUUCAUGCAUUCGAUCAAAUGCUCAAAUUUUUGGUAACAUUUGGCGUUGGCUUUUAUACAGGAGUUUUCAUCGCUCAAAAUUACGACUUACCAAGGUUUGAUGACCCUAAAGAAUUAUAUAACAAAUUUAUUGGCUAUAUAUCAAAAUACAAAAAAGAUAGAUAAAUAACAUAGCUAUAAAUUUUGCACAAAAUUAUUUAAAAUGGCUGGUUGGAAAAUGGAAGCUUAUAGAGCUGCCUUGUAUAUAUUUUUUCCAAUAAGUGUGUUUUAUUUUUCCAAUUUGCCAUGGGUAGUUGACAUUUGGCAAAACACAUUUAGAGGUGAAGUUGAAAGAUACAAAGAUACCGAUAGUGCCAAACAAUUAAAGAAAUUUAUUAGUACAAGUGAUAAAAAUAUUAAAACAAAAAAAUGGGAAACUCUUAUCAAAGAACAUAUACAAAAGAACAAUAAUAGAACUGACAAUUAGCAAAGUUUUGACAAAUAUUCAAAUAUAUUUCAAUUUUGCCUUAUAAUCUUCCAACAAAUUACAACUUAUCAUAAUUAUGCCUCAAUUAUUUUUUGUAAAUGCUUUAAAGUAUUUUGAAAUUCUCUGAUUUAUGUUAAUUAUAUUAUCUCCCUUGAUUCAUAUUAGCCUAAGUACAAAAAGAGGACAUGUUAUAUAUGAUGAUAAUUAUAAAUAGAAAUUUUUUCCUAUAAAUAUCAAUAUAUUUUAAUUUUGUAAAUAAUGA